rnacentral:rRNA from 1 species
GUCUACAGCCAUGCCAUCCUAAAUAAACCUGAUUCUGUCUGAUCUCAGAAGCUAAGCAGGGUCGGGCCCGGUUAGUACUUGGAUGGGAGACCAUCCACCUAGAAAGACCAGGUGCUGUAGGCG